GAGUAAUGUCUGGGAAACUGCCUGAUGGAGGGGGAUAACUACUGGAAACGGUGGCUAAUACCGCAUAACGUCGCAAGACCAAAGAGGGGGACCUUCGGGCCUCUUGCCAUCAGAUGUGCCCAGAUGGGAUUAGCUUGUUGGUGAGGUAACGGCUCACCAAGGCGACGAUCCCUAGCUGGUCUGAGAGGAUGACCAGCCACACUGGAACUGAGACACGGUCCAGACUCCUACGGGAGGCAGCAGUGGGGAAUAUUGCACAAUGGGCGCAAGCCUGAUGCAGCCAUGCCGCGUGUAUGAAGAAGGCCUUCGGGUUGUAAAGUACUUUCAGCGGGGAGGAAGGUGUUGUGGUUAAUAACCGCAGCAAUUGACGUUACCCGCAGAAGAAGCACCGGCUAACUCCGUGCCAGCAGCCGCGGUAAUACGGAGGGUGCAAGCGUUAAUCGGAAUUACUGGGCGUAAAGCGCACGCAGGCGGUCUGUCAAGUCGGAUGUGAAAUCCCCGGGCUCAACCUGGGAACUGCAUUCGAAACUGGCAGGCUUGAGUCUUGUAGAGGGGGGUAGAAUUCCAGGUGUAGCGGUGAAAUGCGUAGAGAUCUGGAGGAAUACCGGUGGCGAAGGCGGCCCCCUGGACAAAGACUGACGCUCAGGUGCGAAAGCGUGGGGAGCAAACAGGAUUAGAUACCCUGGUAGUCCACGCCGUAAACGAUGUCUACUUGGAGGUUGUGCCCUUGAGGCGUGGCUUCCGGAGCUAACGCGUUAAGUAGACCGCCUGGGGAGUACGGCCGCAAGGUUAAAACUCAAAUGAAUUGACGGGGGCCCGCACAAGCGGUGGAGCAUGUGGUUUAAUUCGAUGCAACGCGAAGAACCUUACCUGGUCUUGACAUCCACAGAAGAAUCCAGAGAUGGAUUUGUGCCUUCGGGAACUGUGAGACAGGUGCUGCAUGGCUGUCGUCAGCUCGUGUUGUGAAAUGUUGGGUUAAGUCCCGCAACGAGCGCAACCCUUAUCCUUUGUUGCCAGCGGUUAGGCCGGGAACUCAA
rnacentral:rRNA from 1 species